UUUUAACUAGUAUAGCACCGUACAUUUACCUUCCAAGUAAAAAGUCUCCAAAAGUUGAGGUUGCUAG
rnacentral:tRNA from 1 species